AUUGAGUUUCAGCUGCCUGCCUCCUCAUUUAAACAGGAAAUUGUAUUGCAAAGUAAUAACACGAGAAAUCAAUGAAUUAAUUACUUUGCUUUUAUUCACAAUCAGAGAAAGAUCCCUUAUUGAAUGAAUCUGGAGGUCCCUAUUCAAAUCGGUGGCACGCACUAGUGCUUACUGCAAUAAUCAAUGUACAUGGGCAAGUUCAGCGGAAGGUCAACCUGAGAAAAAAUGGAAGUUUGCCAUUUCAAUGAAACCACGUUCCUAAUUAUCCUUAAGGGCUGAUGAGGCGUGAAGCCUGCCAGUUGUUGAAGAGCAUCUGCAGAGUCAGAGGCUGAUGGGCAUCUCAUUCAGCCAGGCUCCCGGGGGGGGGGACUCCCACAUCUGAGGACCUGCUCGUCUGUUUGCACAACGACCCCGCGUCCCCACGCUGUACCAGGGUCGUGCUACAUAUGCCACCUGCCCCCUGCAUAAGCAGCCCUGGCCCCCGCUGACACCCAUGGGGUUUGUGAUAUUACCUGCUUAGAGAGGGACCAAACAAUUUGGGACU